rnacentral:rRNA from 1 species
GAUGAACGCUGGCGGCGUGCCUAAUACAUGCAAGUCGAGCGAACAGAUGAGGAGCUUGCUCCUCUGACGUUAGCGGCGGACGGGUGAGUAACACGUGGAUAACCUACCUAUAAGACUGGGAUAACUUCGGGAAACCGGAGCUAAUACCGGAUCAUAUAUUGAACCGCAUGGUUCAAUAGUGAAAGACGGUUUUGCUGUCACUUAUAGAUGGAUCCGCGUCGCAUUAGCUAGUUGGUAAGGUAACGGCUUACCAAGGCAACGAUGCGUAGCCGACCUGAGAGGAUGAUCAGCCACACUGGAACUGAGACACGGUCCAGACUCCUACGGGAGGCAGCAGUAGGGAAUCUUCCGCAAUGGGCGAAAGCCUGACGGAGCAACGCCGCGUGAGUGAUGAAGGUCUUCGGAUCGUAAAGCUCUGUUAUUAGGGAAGAACAAAUGUGUGAGUAACUAUGCACGUCUUGACGGUACCUAAUCAGAAAGCCACGGCUAACUACGUG